rnacentral:sRNA from 1 species
UAGUGAUUGCUUCCGUAGGUGAACCCGCUGAACUUAAGCAUAUACCCACUGUUUCCGUAGGUGAACCCGCUGAACUUAAGCAUAUACCCACUGUUUCCGUAGGUGAACCUGCUGAACUUAAGCAUAUACCCACUGUUUCCGUAGGUGAACCUGCUGCUGGAUCAUUACUUUGUGAGUAAUGCUCAAAUUUUUUGACUAUAUGACACAUGUAAACUUGACUCUCAUGCAUCAUAUCUGGUAAUGAUGCAAAAAGUGUCUCGCCCUGAGGGGUGAACGGCUUCUGCUGGCGUCUGUGUCUUGUUGAGCAAUUGUAUUCCGUCCGUGAUUGCUAUGAGACAAACGGUAGGACCCGCAUCCAAACCAAUGCCUCAGGAUGUGUGGUUUAAGACUUAAUGAGCCCAAUGCUUAGGGGCCGCCAGCAUUUCUUUUUUCUAUUAUACUUUUUAAACACAUGAAAGAAUUCUAGUCUUAUCGGUGGAUCACUCGGCUCGUGGUUCGAUGAAGAACGCAGCUAACUGCGAUAAAUAGUGCGAACUGCAGAAACAUUGAGCACAAAAGCUUCGAAUGCACAUUGCGCCAUUGGAGUCACUUCCUAUGGCACGCCUGGUUCAGGGUCAUUAUCAAUCAAAAAACACAAAUGUGUGUGUUGUGAAAUAUAUAAUCAAUUCCAUGUUUAUAUAUCGAGACUAUCCCAUUUUGACCGUCGUUGGGAUUGAUUCUAAAUAACUGUCUGGUAUAUAGUUAUUUUAAACGCCAACUUCGGCAUAAAUGGCAAAUGCCCUUGAUUCUUGGAGGCAUAAAUAUAUUACAAUUUUGACCUGAACUCAGACGUGAUUACCCGCUGAACUUAAGCAUAU